AUUGAACGCUGGCGGCAGGCUUAACACAUGCAAGUCGAGCGGGGACUUCGGUCCUAGCGGCGAACGGGUGAGGAAUGCUUGGGAAUCUGCCCAGUAGCGGGGGAUAACGUUUCGAAAGGAACGCUAAUACCGCAUACGCCCUACGGGGGAAAGGGGGGGAUCUUCGGACCUCUCACUAUUGGAUGAGCCCAAGUCGGAUUAGCUAGUUGGUGGGGUAAAGGCCUACCAAGGCGACGAUCCGUAGCUGGUCUGAGAGGAUGAUCAGCCACACUGGAACUGAGACACGGACCAGACUCCUACGGGAGGCAGCAGUGGGGAAUAUUGGACAAUGGGCGAAAGCCUGAUCCAGCCAUGCCGCGUGUGUGAAGAAGGCCUUCGGGUUGUAAAGCACUUUAAGCGAGGAGGAAUGGCUCUUGGUUAAUAACCUUGAGCAGUGACGUUACUCGCAGAAUAAGCACCGGCUAACUCUGUGCCAGCCGCCGCGGUAA
rnacentral:rRNA from 1 species